AGUACAGACGAGUUUGAUCCUGGCUCAGAACGAACGCUGGCGGCAGGCCUAACACAUGCAAGUCGAGCGCCUCGCAAGGGGAGCGGCGGACGGGUGAGUAACACGUGGGAAUUUUCCUCAAGGUACGGAACAACUCAGGGAAACUUGGGCUAAUACCGUAUGAUGCAGAGAUGCCAAAGAUUUAUCGCCUUGGGAUAAGCCCGCGUCAGAUUAGGUAGUUGGUGGGGUAAUGGCCUACCAAGCCUGUGAUCUGUAGCUGGUCUGAGAGGACGAUCAGCCACAUUGGGACUGAGACACGGCCCAAACUCCUACGGGAGGCAGCAGGUGGGGAAUCUUGCGCAAUGGACGAAAGUCUGACGCAGCCAUGCCGCGUGAAUGAUGAAGGUCUUAGGAUUGUAAAGUUCUUUAGCCUGUGACGAUGAUGACGGUAACAGGAGAAUAAGCCCCGGCUAACUUCGUG
rnacentral:rRNA from 1 species